ensembl:snoRNA
UCUGCCCCUCGAAGCCUUCCAGGUACGGCUGCUGUGUGUCCCAUGUGUGUCAGUAGGUGGCAGGGAGGAAAGGCUAUGUCUAUGCUCAGUGUUCUGACCUAUGAACAUACGAAUGAUUAGUAGCCUAAUACU